rnacentral:rRNA from 1 species
UACGUAGGGUGCGAGCGUUGUCCGGAAUUAUUGGGCGUAAAGGGCUCGUAGGCGGUUUGUCGCGUCGGGAGUGAAAACCAGGUGCUUAACACCUGGCUUGCUUUCGAUACGGGCAGACUAGAGGUAUGCAGGGGAGAACGGAAUUCCUGGUGUAGCGGUGAAAUGCGCAGAUAUCAGGAGGAACACCGGUGGCGAAGGCGGGUCUCUGGGCCGAUACUGACGCUGAGGAGCGAAAGCAUGGGUAGCGAACAGG